rnacentral:rRNA from 1 species
UACGUAGGGUGCAAGCGUUAAUCGGAAUUACUGGGCGUAAGCGUGCGCAGGCGGUUUUGUAAGUCAGAUGUGAAAGCCCCGGGCUCAACCUGGGAACUGCGUUUGAAACUACAAGGCUAGAGUGUAGCAGAGGGGGUAGAAUUCCACGUGUAGCAGUGAAAUGCGUAGAGAUGUGGAGGAAUACCAAUGGCGAAGGCAGCCCCUGGGUUAACACUGACGCUCAUGCACGAAAGC